UCUCAUUCUCUCUCUCCCUCUCUCUCCCUCUCUCUCUUACGUUAAACCAUGGUUAUGUGGCUUGAUUAGUUUAAGUAUGGAUGCAACAAUGGAGGAAUUAAUCAAUCGGUAGUGUUGUGGCGAUGAUGAUUGACUAUACUUAUGGGCUCUUCGUGAAUCGUGAUGGUUCGAUUUCAUUAAUGGAGAGACGGAGGAGAGGACGAGCGGUGUUUUCGUUUGAAUCGUUCCUGAAAUUAAAGCAAAGGAUCAUUCAAAGUUGGGACUAUGGACCUAUCAGCUUGAACUUUCUACAAACAAGAGACUUCUUCUGUGGAGUUUGGAGCUAAUGAGGCUGGUUAAUUGGCUCCGAAUGACUAUGUUCCUGAUGGUAUAAUGGAAGUGAGACUAGUAUAACAAUAGUGAGACUGCCCAGAUUUUUAAAUUCCCCACGGUCAUAUUCAUCAAGCUGAAAAAAGCAUGGUCUCGAGGUAAUAAAACUUACCUGUCUCAUUGUCCUUGUCCCUUUGAAUGAAAACAUCACAGUCCCAAGUCGAGUUCAUAAUCAUCUGGUUGUAAUCAAAUGCCUCGUCCCAUUCGAGGUAAUCUAAAUUACCUCUCUGAAUGUCCCUGUCCCUAAUGUUAGAAUGAAAAUGAGACAGUUCUCAUUCUGUCAAGUCUCGGGUUUCUAGUCCCCUGAGCUGAAAACAAAUGCCUCAUCCCAUUCGAGGUAAUCAAAAUUACCUCUUUAAAUGUCCCUGUCCCUGAAGUUGGAAUGAAAAUGAGACAGUUCCCAUUCUGUCAAGUCUCGGGUUUCUAGUCCCUUGAGCUGAAAACAAAUGCCUCGUCUCGGUCAAGGUAAUCUAAAUUACCUCUCUAUAUGUCCCUGCCCCGAAAAUUGGAAUGAAAAUGAGACAGUUCUCAAGCUGUCAAGGCUCGGGUUUCUAGUCCCCGAGCUGAAAACAAAUGCCUCGUCCCAUUAAAGGUAAUCAAAAUUACCUCUCUGAAUGUCCUUGUCCCUGAAGCUGGAAUGAAAAUGAGACAGUUCCCAUUCUGUCUAGUCUCGGGUUUCUUGUCCCCGAGCUGAAAACAAAUGCCUCGUCCCAUUCGAGGUAAUCAAAAUUACCUCUUUAAAUGUCCCUGUCCCUGAAGUUGUAAUGAAAAUGAGACAGUGCCCAUUCUGUCAAGUCUCGGGUUUCUAGUCCCCGAACUGAAAACAAAUGCCUCGUCUCGGUCAAGGUAAUCUAAAUUACCUCUCUGAAUGUCCCUUUCCGUGAUGUUAUAAUGAAAAUGAGACAGUUCCAAUGCUGUCUAGUCUCGGGUUUGUAGUCCCUGAGCUGAAAACAAAUGCAAAAGUAUGAGAUACAUGGAGCAUGUGGAUUGACGUAAAUCAGGUAACUACUUAACCUUCUGACUUGCUUAAAAUAUAUUUUCAGGAUCAAUAUGCAGAAGUAGAAGUAUGACCAUACAUGAGCAUGUGGAUUUUUUUUUAUAUUCUGCAUAUGUGAGAUAAGGUGGCUAUUCUUCAGCUCUUAAAAAUCAGCAUAAGACUUUCAGCCACAGAUGGAUGUUGUAUAGUGCUCGGCACAAAGGGGGAUGUCAAGGAUAUUAAUUCAAGGUCGGGGUAAAAGGUUCGUCUUUACAAGUCAGAGAUCGGCAGUUACAAGAAAGAAAGGUUAUUAAUCUGUUCGACAAUCUAAGUUACUAAAGCCGAGCUCUGCGGAGUACUUCUGUCCUCUGUCUGUGUACUUGAUGUCUUGUCACAUCAAUUCUCUUUCCUUUUAUAGGAGAAUGAUGUGACAGGACACCGACUUUGGCGCGUGGCCUAAUGGGCUGAUCGUUUGAGGCCCGGAUACUCGUUUCUUGUCGUCUUCCGCGGGUUAGCGCCACGUCACUCGCUCUCCCCCGGGCCGGGCAGGUAAAUAGUGGAAAGGGGCUCGCGAAUUGAGGCCCAUAUCCAACAAUGGAUGAAAUCUUAGAUGUUGUUAUCAUGUAUAAAGUUUGUUUUAACUCAUUUUAUGAGUGUUAUGACUCUGUUUGUAAUGUGUGUGUUCAUAUCAUUUAGAGCAGAUUGCUAAGUUUAAUUUUUUUGUUGAGCUUGCGAUACAAAUUGUUUUGGGUUUAGUUUAGUUUGUAAAAGUUCUACGAAGGACUGAUGUGGUGAGAAUAAAAGCCUUGUUGCAACGCAUGAUGUGAUUCUUUGUAUAACAACAUUAUCCAUUUAAAUUGUAAACUUAUGAAUAUCAGAAAACUGCAUUGAAUUA